GACGAACGCUGGCGGCGUGCUUAACACAUGCAAGUCGAACGGAAAGGCCCUGCUUUUGUGGGGUGCUCGAGUGGCGAACGGGUGAGUAACACGUGAGUAACCUGCCCUUGACUUUGGGAUAACUUCAGGAAACUGGGGCUAAUACCGGAUAGGAGCUCCUGCUGCAUGGUGGGGGUUGGAAAGUUUCGGCGGUUGGGGAUGGACUCGCGGCUGAUCAGCUUGUUGGUGGGGUAGUGGCUUACCAAGGCUUUGCCGGGUAGCCGGCCUGAGAGGGUGACCGGCCACAUCGGGACUGAGAUACGGCCGAGACUGCUGCGGGAGGCAGUAGUGGGGAAUAUUGCACAAUGGGCGGAAGCGUGAUGCAGCAACGCCGCGUGCGGGAUGACGGCCUUCGUGUUGUAAACCGCUUUGGCCUGUGACGAAGCGGGAGUGACGGUAAUGGGUAAAGAAGCACCGGCUAACUACGUG
rnacentral:rRNA from 1 species